rnacentral:lncRNA from 1 species
CAAUAAUUUAAUAACUUAUUUAAGUCUUGUUUGAACAGAGUUAGUUCCGGCAAAUCAUCCUUCGUUGCUGGCCAAGAUUUUUGCUGUUGACCUCAAAUUUUGUAUAUCCAACGUGACCAGUAGGUAUCAAGGCCUCCCGUAUUCACUUAAGCAGAUUCCUGCACACUAAGACAAAUCCUUAGCCACAUGUGGCCUCCUUUGGUGGGGUGGAGUUGGCCGUGAUCACUCCAACGGCCAAGUUAGUUGAUAAUAUAAGUGUUUGAAUGUGGGAGUUGCUCUAGACACGAGCCUCUUGUAUAUAUUAAAAUAAAAGGUAUUCAACUUUAGGAGAUUUAAGAGAUGCAAAUUUGUAGUUUGAGAGUCUAAACUUGUAUUACAUUUGGAAUGGCACAUUGUGUGAGUUUUUCUAGUAAAAGAAGAUGAAUAAUAAAAAGGAGAACUAGGCAUAUUUUCAAAGGUUGAAAAAUAUAUUUCAUGAAAAAAAUGACAAUUGAACACUUCAAAAGUUGGAAUUCGAGUGGAAAAAGACCAUUUUUCAUAUAAAAAUUUCCAAACAAAUACAACCUUAUUGUUAAUACUAUUUUGUUGCCUAAAAUCAUUUACCAAGGUUAUGGAAGAUCUUCCAGUAAAACCCAUAAUGGUUCACCCCUCCAAUGGGGGUUCGGUUCCUCAAAUGGCGUAGGCUUCAGCAAAUGGAUUCGACCCUUCAUAAGGGUUCGGCCGGAGAAAUGAUGUGGAAGGCCCAGGUUUGGCUACCACAUGGUCAUGCUAGGAGCCUCGCUAGCGGAGGAGUAACAUUUUCUAAAAUAAUAUGAAGGGCAAGAUAUGUCUUGCAUUUUCUUACAUUCUAUACUUGAUCACAUGCCUUUUACCAUGCUUGAAUAUUCACAUUUGUGUAAAAGAAUGUAUCGUGGAUUUACAAGCAUCACAGAUGUUUACAUGCAUUGCUUUAUAUGAAUUUUCAACAUACACAUAUUCUGCUUAUGUUGCUAUCUUUUCCAAAGUACUGCUUCUUAUCCAUAUUCUCUGGCUCUACAAAGUUUUGUGGGAUCAACCUUAGUUCUCUCCAGUUGUUGUCCCCAUAGAGUCUGAGCAAGGCUGGCAUCAAUAGGUUGGGACUGCAAGUAGACAUUGAAAUAAGUCCUCGUUUUUCAAUUUUUUGCAUUGUUUUUUACCUGUUGAAUUUGAGUUUGUGUUGC